CCUUCUAGUAUAUAUACCACCAGAAAAGAGUCGUUGCAAAAAGAACCGUUGGAGUUGAUAAUCUUUUGUCUUCAAGCAGUCUGUCUUGAUGCAGUUUGUUUGUAUCUAAACUGAGUAAGAGUUUCAGAUACUUUGACUACUGCAGAGUAGACUUUCCUUAUUCAGCUAACAAGUCUGAAGACCCACGUUCUCAAGUGAGGACAGACAAAAUGAGAGUAGCUGAACUGAUCAGGCUUGAAAGGUCCUUUUCUUCAUUGGUAGAAGAGUUGACUUGCAAAGGGAAUCUUCACAGCUUUCAAAAAGAUCUUCAGAGGUUGAN
rnacentral:lncRNA from 1 species